UACGAAGGGGGCUAGCGUUGCUCGGAAUUACUGGGCGUAAAGCGCACGUAGGCGGACCAUCAAGUUGGGGGUGAAAUCCCGGGGCUCAACCCCGGAACUGCCUCCAAGACUGCUGGUCUGGAGGUCGAGAGAGGUGAGUGGAAUUCCGAGUGUAGAGGUGAAAUUCGUAGAUAUUCGGAGGAACACCAGUGGCGAAGGCGGCUCACUGGCUCGAUACUGACGCUGAGGUGCGAAAGCGUGGGGAGCAAACAGG
rnacentral:rRNA from 1 species